CCUACGGGUGGCAGCAGUGGGGAAUAUUGGGCAAUGGGCGCAAGCCUGACCCAGCAACGCCGCGUGAAGGAAGAAGGCUUUCGGGUUGUAAACUUCUUUUCUCAGGGACGAAGCAAGUGACGGUACCUGAGGAAUAAGCCACGGCUAACUACGUGCCAGCAGCCGCGGUAAUACGUAGGUGGCAAGCGUUAUCCGGAUUUACUGGGUGUAAAGGGCGUGUAGGCGGGAAAGCAAGUCAGAUGUGAAAACCAUGGGCUCAACCUGUGGCCUGCAUUUGAAACUGUUUUUCUUGAGUACUGGAGAGGCAGACGGAAUUCCUAGUGUAGCGGUGAAAUGCGUAGAUAUUAGGAGGAACACCAGUGGCGAAGGCAGCAUACCGGCGCGCAACUGACGCUCAUGCACGAAAGCGUGGGUAUCGAACAGGAUUAGAUACCCGAGUAGUC
rnacentral:rRNA from 1 species